rnacentral:rRNA from 1 species
GCGAACCUACGGGGCGCAGCAGUAGGGAAUUUUCGUCAAUGGGCGCAAGCCUGAACGAGCAAUGCCGCGUGAACGAGGAAGGUCUUCGGAUCGUAAAGUUCUGUUGAAGGGGAAAAAGAGCGGAGAGAGGAAAUGGUCUCCGAUUGAUAUUACCCUUCGAGGAAGUCACGGCUAACUACGUGACAGCAGCCGCGGUAAUACGUAGGUGGCGAGCGUUAUGCGGAAUGAUUGGGCGUAAAGGGUGCGUAGGCGGCCUGCUAAGUCUGGAGUGAAAGGCACGGG